rnacentral:rRNA from 1 species
UACGUAGGGCGCAAGCGUUGUCCGGAAUUAUUGGGCGUAAAGAGCUCGUAGGCGGCCUGUUACGUCUGCUGUGAAAUCCCGGGGCUUAACCCCGGGCGUGCAGUGGAUACGGGCAGGCUGGAGGCAGGCAGGGGAGAACGGAAUUCCCGGUGUAGCGGUGAAAUGCGCAGAUAUCGGGAGGAACACCGGUGGCGAAGGCGGUUCUCUGGGCCUGUACUGACGCUGAAGAGCGAAAGCGUGGGGAGCGAACAGG